rnacentral:rRNA from 1 species
AUUGAACGCUGGCGGCAGGCCUAACACAUGCAAGUCGAGCGAGCGGCGGACGGGUGAGUAAUGUAUGGGGACUGCACGAUAGAGGGGGAUAACUACUGGAAACGGUAGCUCAUACCGAAUACUAUCGGAAAACCAAUAUGGGAUUAGCUAGUUGGUGAGGUAAUGGCUCACAAAGGCGACGAUCCCUAGCUGGUCUGAGAGGAUGAUCAGCUACACUGGAACUGAGACACGGUCCAGACUCCUCCGGAGUCAGCAGUGGGGAAUAUUGCACAAGGGGCGCAAGCCUGAUGCAGCCAUGCCGCGUGUAUGAAGCAGGCCUUAGGGUUGUAAAGUACUUUCAGCGGGGAGGCGUUACCCGCAGAAGAAGCACCGGCUAACGCCGUGCCAGCAGCCGCGGUAAUAC